AAUAGAUACCCUGGUAGUCCACGCCGUAAACGAUGAGUGCUAAGUGUUAGAGGGUUUCCGCCCUUUAGUGCUGCAGCUAACGCAUUAAGCACUCCGCCUGGGGAGUACGGUCGCAAGACUGAAACUCAAAGGAAUUGACGGGGGCCCGCACAAGCGGUGGAGCAUGUGGUUUAAUUCGAAGCAACGCGAAGAACCUUACCAGGUCUUGACAUCCUCUGACAACUCUAGAGAUAGAGCGUUCCCCUUCGGGGGACAGAGUGACAGGUGGUGCAUGGUUGUCGUCAGCUCGUGUCGUGAGAUGUUGGGUUAAGUCCCGCAACGAGCGCAACCCUUGAUCUUAGUUGCCAGCAUUUAGUUGGGCACUCUAAGGUGACUGCCGGUGACAAACCGGAGGAAGGUGGGGAUGACGUCAAAUCAUCAUGCCCCUUAUGACCUGGGCUACACACGUGCUACAAUGGAUGGUACAAAGGGCUGCAAGACCGCGAGGUCAAGCCAAUCCCAUAAACCAUUCUCAGUUCGGAUUGU
rnacentral:rRNA from 1 species